GACGAACGCUGGCGGCGUGCUUAACACAUGCAAGUCGUACGGUAAGGCCCUUUCGGGGGUACACGAGUGGCGAACGGGUGAGUAACACGUGAGUAACCUGCCCACAACUUUGGGAUAACGCUAGGAAACUGGUGCUAAUACUGGAUAUGUGCUCCUGCUGCAUGGUGGGGGUUGGAAAGCUCCGGCGGUUGUGGAUGGACUCGCGGCCUAUCAGCUUGUUGGUGGGGUAGUGGCCUACCAAGGCGGCGACGGGUAGCCGGCCUGAGAGGGUGACCGGCAACAUUGGGACUGGGAUACGGCCCAGACUCCUACGGGAGGCAGCAGUGGGGAAUAUUGCACAAUGGGCGCAAGCCUGAUGCAGCAGCGCCGCGUGCGGGAUGACGGCCUUCGGGUUGUAAACCGCUUUCAGCAGGGACGAAGCUUUUUGUGACGGUACCUGCAGAAGAAGCACCGGCUAACUACGUG
rnacentral:rRNA from 1 species